AUGGACACGGCGGCCGCGGCGAGGCGGCACCCGGCGCUGGGCGGGAGGCGGCGUAGGGGGCGCGGGGGCGUGGCGCCGGUGCGGUGCUCCGGCUCGCCCGCGCAGGAGUUCGCGGCGCUGGCGUCUGUGUUCCGGCGGCGGCUGGUGGUGGGGGCGAGCACGGCGGCGGCGGCGGCCGUGGGGGCCAACUUCGGGGGCGUCACCAGCUUCCUCCUCGGCCUCUCCCCGGAGCUCGGCCGCUCGCUCCGGCUCGACGUGCUCUACCCCGUCGGCGGAUUCACCCGCUGCCUCGACUCCGACAGCGGAUUCGAGUUCAUCUAUCCAGCAAACUGGGUUGGAGACCAGACGAUACUAUACAAUCAAAUUAAGAAGGCAGAGCUGCAAAGAUCACUAGACCCUCCGCCAUUGACAAGUGGGAGUUCUCCAUCUCGACCUCGGAAUGUCAGUGGACCGGUGGCGGCUUUUGGCCCCCCGGGAUCCAACGGGGAGCUCAAUGUCAGUAUCAUUGUGUCGACCGUUCCACAAGACUUCUCGAUUGAGUCUUUCGGCGGUCCUAAAGAUGUCGGGGAAGUGGUGCUGAGGAGGAUCGCAAGGACAAAGCGAAACCCGGACAUCAGCGCCACUCUGAUCGAUGCCGCAUUGAGAGAAGACACCGUGAACAAUGUGAAAUACUACAAGCUAGAGUUCCGGGUCGAAAGCCCUUCCUUCCGACGGCACAAUGUGGCGGUGUGCUGCGCGAGAGACGGCAAACUGUACACCUUGAAUGCCCAGGCGCCCGAGUCGGCGUGGAGGUCGGUUAAGGAAGAGUUCUUUGCGAUGGCGGAUUCCUUCAGCCUAGUGAUCGAUGCUUGA
rnacentral:rRNA from 1 species